UACGUAAGGUCCGAGCGUUGUCCGGAAUCAUUGGGCGUAAAGGGUACGUAGGCGGAUAAGCAAGUUAGAAGUGAAAUCCUAUAGCUCAACUAUAGUAAGCUUUUAAAACUGCUCAUCUUGAGGUAUGGAAGGGAAAGUGGAAUUCCUAGUGUAGCGGUGAAAUGCGUAGAUAUUAGGAGGAACACCGGUGGCGAAGGCGGGUCUCUGGGCAUGAACUGACGCUGAGGUGCGAAAGCGUGGGUAGCAAACAGG
rnacentral:rRNA from 1 species